UACAGAGGUCUCAAGCGUUGUUCGGAUUCAUUGGGCGUAAAGGGUGCGUAGGCGGCGCGGUAAGUCGGGUGUGAAAUCUCGGAGCUUAACUCCGAAACUGCAUUCGAUACUGCCGUGCUUGAGGACUGGAGAGGAGACUGGAAUUUACGGUGUAGCGGUGAAAUGCGUAGAUAUCGUAAGGAAGACCAGUGGCGAAGGCGGGUCACUGGACCACAACUGACGCUGAGGCGCGAAAGCUAGGGGAGCAAACAGG
rnacentral:rRNA from 1 species